rnacentral:rRNA from 1 species
AGUGGCGAACGGGUGAGUAACACGUGACCAACCUGCCCCGCGCUCCGGGACAACCGCUGGAAACGGCGGCUAAUACCGGAUACUCCGGGAGGGCCCCAUGGCCCUGCCGGGAAAGCCGAGACGGCGCGGGAUGGGGUCGCGGCCCAUUAGGUAGACGGCGGGGUAACGGCCCACCGUGCCCGCGAUGGGUAGCCGGACUGAGAGGUCGACCGGCCACAUUGGGACUGAGAUACGGCCCAGACUCCUACGGGAGGCAGCAGUGGGGAAUUUUGCGCAAUGGGGGAAACCCUGACGCAGCAACGCCGCGUGCGGGACGAAGGCCCUCGGGUUGUAAACCGCUUUCAGCAGGGAAGACUUUACGACGGUACCUGCAGAAGAAGCUCCGGCUAACUACGUGCCAGCAGCCGCGGUAAUACGUAGGGGGCGAGCGUUAUCCGGAUUCAUUGGGCGUAAAGCGCGCGUAGGCGGCCGCCUAAGCGGGACCUCUAACCCCGGGGCUCAACCCCGGGCCGGGUCCCGGACUGGGCGGCUCGAGUGCGGUAGAGGAGAGCGGAAUUCCCGGUGUAGCGGUGGAAUGCGCAGAUAUCGGGAAGAACACCGAUGGCGAAGGCAGCUCUCUGGGCCGUCACUGACGCUNAGGCGCGAAAGCUGGGGGAGCGAACAGGAUUAGAUACCCUGGUA